AACGGACGCUGGCGGCAUGCCUAACACAUGCAAGUCGAACGAGACCUUCGGGUCUAGUGGCGCACGGGUGCGUAACGCGUGGGAACCUGCCUUUAGGUUCGGAAUAACUCAGAGAAAUUUGAGCUAAUACCGGAUAAUGUCUUCGGACCAAAGAUUUAUCGCCUUUAGAUGGGCCCGCGUUGGAUUAGCUAGUUGGUGGGGUAAAGGCCUACCAAGGCGACGAUCCAUAGCUGGUCUGAGAGGAUGAUCAGCCACACUGGGACUGAGACACGGCCCAGACUCCUACGGGAGGCAGCAGUGGGGAAUAUUGGACAAUGGGCGAAAGCCUGAUCCAGCAAUGCCGCGUGAGUGAUGAAGGCCUUAGGGUUGUAAAGCUCUUUACUCGGGACGAUAAUGACGGUACCGAGAGAAUAAGCCCCGGCUAACUCCGUGCCAGCAGCCGCGGUAAAGUGACUACUG
rnacentral:rRNA from 1 species